rnacentral:misc_RNA from 1 species
CAGUGUUCCUGCCCUCACGGGUAGAAACCCCACCCUUGUGUAUUAUAUCUUUGUUGCUUUGGCAGGCCGCCUUCGGGCACCGGCUCACGCUGGAUCGUGCCUGCCAGAGGACCCCAAACUCUGAAGUAUAGUGUCGUCUGAGUACUAUUUAAUAGUUA